rnacentral:lncRNA from 1 species
UAAGGUGAAAACUCCUCAGAGCCUGUUCUGUUCGGUAUUCUUCAACCUCCACCACUACAAAACAUGUACAUAUUGGUGUGCUCUACUUUGUAAAGAAUUGGUCCAACACGAGUCAUCAAGUGCAAUUAUGUAACCAGUGCUCAAGUGGCGUUUAAGAAAUCACAUUAGGCAACCGUGUUUUGCACGAUAAUCAUUACCUACAAUCCUACUGGAAUUAAGGUCGCCGAAAGAAUCGCUGAACUGAUUGGAAAACGCCUGGUCAGGAUUUCAUUGCGCCCGGUCUGACCAUAGAGUUGCCGUUUCCACUGUGCCGGUUUCAAUCAGAGCGCACGCGUUCGUUUGGAUCGAUACCUUUUCUCAUAGCUUAUAUCUACAGACAGCAUCGGGGAUGUUCAUUUAACAGGAUAGAGGGGAAGGAAAAACGGUCGCCAUAUUUUGGGCGGAGACUGCGAUACAUUUGCCUGUUUCAUUGGAUGAAAAGAUCGAUCUGGUGCAUCAGCUGCACGCGCCUGCCCAGUGAACAUUCUCUGAUACCUUGCGAUUCGUUUCACUUAGCAGGAGUACUGUACCGAAUACCAUUUCAACCCCCUAAAAGCGAUACUCAUUGCUUUCUAGAAAAAGUGUACGCUUCGAGUACCUUCAUUGGAAGAAAACUGUACUGAAACAUUUUCCAGACAGUUCUGAAAUAGUCUUAUGUAAUUAUGGGAGGUAGGAUUCAGAGGAACAACGAUGCAUUUAUUCUGGUGAAGUUUCUGAGAGCCAGUUUCUUUUCACGGUGUCGCUAUCGGAAUCGAAAUCUCCGGGCAAAUAAACAGCGCAUGAGUUCCCAGCCAUUGAUCGUGAGCAAUAUAAAUACUUACUUCCUACGUGAUGUAGGUAAUGGUUAGAAACAAUUUGAAAGAGAUGGCCGUGAAAUGUUCGACCAGUAGUCAUUGACCACAAAACAAACAUCCAACAUCAAGCAUUGAGGAAGUCAAGAAAUAAACUUUCUUUAAACAAUCAGUACAAGGACAAGAAUUGAAAGAAUAGACAUUAAUUAAGA